AUGUUGGGAAGGUGGGAGGAAUGGUGUGGGAGUGCUGAGUCCUCAUUUCCUGUAAUACAAAGUCAACAGAUGCCUAUUAAGAGAUAACAGUAUAAACUUCUUCAUCACAAACAUAUACCCUGGCCAUCUGUCAAAACACUAUGAAACCACAAGACUCAAGGAUCCCUGGACUUCUUUUAGCAUUAACAUUGUUAUAGUACACAUUAAGCAGAGAACUGAAGAGCAUGUGAGUUCUAAGAUCCUUGUCCUAAGUGUACUUCUCUAGAAUUAGUAUUUAUAAAACACAUUAUCUACACAU